CGCCUUAGAUAUUCUCGAGCUCUAAUCUAUCACUUUAGCGUGACUAAAUAUUUGCCUUUAGUGUCCCUCUAAGAACCGAGAAAUGGAUAU
rnacentral:lncRNA from 1 species